rnacentral:pre_miRNA from 1 species
GGAAACUUAAAAACUACCGUUGGAUUGAAAAAUGGACGUCCAAGAUUCGUCCACAUUAUUACGAGUAAAAAAAUUUACUCAUGAGUAAACCCGUAAGUAAAAUUUUUUACUUGUACUGAUGACGUGAACGAAUCUAGGACGUUCAUUUUUCAAUCGAACGGUAAUUUAUAAGUUUCC